rnacentral:rRNA from 1 species
UACGGGAGGCAGCAGUGGGGAAUAUUGCACAAUGGGCGCAAGCCUGAUGCAGCCAUGCCGCGUGUAUGAAGAAGGCCUUCGGGUUGUAAAGUACUUUCAGUCGUGAGGAAGGUGUUAAGGUUAAUAACCUUAGCAAUUGACGUUAGCGACAGAAGAAGCACCGGCUAACUCCGUGCCAGCAGCCGCGGUAAUACGGAGGGUGCGAGCGUUAAUCGGAAUUACUGGGCGUAAAGGGCACGCAGGCGGUUAAUUAAGUUGGAUGUGAAAUCCCCGGGCUUAACCUGGGAAUGGCAUUCAAGACUGGUUAGCUAGAGUCUUGUAGAGGGGGUAGAAUUCCAUGUGUAGCGGUGAAAUGCGUAGAGAUGUGGAGGAAUACCGGUGGCGAAGGCGGCCCCUGGCAAAGACUGACGCUCAUGUGCGAAAGCGUGGGGAGCAAACGAGGAUUAGAUACC